rnacentral:lncRNA from 13 species
UGUGUUUCAAUGAGCAUAUUACCUAUUAUAUUAAAAAGAACUCUCAUUAAUGAAUUUGUUAAUUUUCCUUUGCUGUGACUUUGGAUAACAUGUUUAUUUUUCUUUCAAACAUGGGAACACCCAAAAUGUAUGGUUCUCAAGAGGUCAAAACGUGUCUUCUAUCAGUGUGCACUUAGAGGACCAAACACGAUGAGGAAGAGCGACUAUGGGACAAGAUUUCACCAUAUCGGCUAGGCUGGUCUUGAACUCCUGACCUUGUGAUCCACCUGCCUCGGCCUCCCAAAAUGUUGGGAUUACAGAAAGAGCACACAAGGAGUAUUACAAGGUGUUUGUUAGUCUUCAAAGCAAAGAAAAACAAGAACCACAGAUUCCCCCUCAAGAAAUACUCUAGGAGCUUAUCAUAUGGAACAGAAAAGGAGACAUACCUUCAUUGAGUGAGUGAUGAAAAUACUGUUGGGCACGUUAGUUGGAGUUGUCAAUUGAGAUUAUGUUCCACAGUUCUUCUUUCAGUGAAAGGUGAGCUGGCCCUUGUCACAGGUGACAGACAGGCUGAGAGAUAAGAAGAAGCCAAUCUUAGAGAACUCCCUUAGUCUGUGGAUAGUAGAAACAAUGAUAUUUCAUGUUUUCAGUGUAAUUACCUUUGUUCAACAAAAUUUUGCUUAUUUCUUUUUUUG